ACGUAGGGGGCGAGCGUUGUCCGGAAUGACUGGGCGUAAAGGGCGUGUAGGCGGCCGAUUAAGUAUGGAGUGAAAGUCCUGCUUUCAAGGUGGGAAUUGCUUUGUAGACUGGUUGGCUUGAGUGCGGAAGAGGUAAGUGGAAUUCCCAGUGUAGCGGUGAAAUGCGUAGAGAUUGGGAGGAACACCAGUGGCGAAGGCGACUUACUGGGCCGUAACUGACGCUGAGGCGCGAAAGCGUGGGGAGCGAACAG
rnacentral:rRNA from 1 species